UACAGAGGUCCCAAGCGUUGUUCGGAUUCACUGGGCGUAAAGGGUGCGUAGGUGGUGAGGUAAGUCGGAUGUGAAAUCUCCGAGCUCAACUCGGAAAUUGCAUUGGAAACUACCUUGCUAGAGGGUUGGAGGGGGGACUGGAAUACUUGGUGUAGCAGUGAAAUGCGUAGAUAUCAAGUGGAACACCAGUGGCGAAGGCGAGUCCUGGACAACUCCUGACACUGAGGCACGAAAGCUAGGGGAGCAAACAGG
rnacentral:rRNA from 1 species